AGGGAGACCUACACCCCUUACAUAUCGAAAAGCAUACAGCUAUAUAGAUAGUAAGUUGGUCAUUCCUUAGGUCGGUCGCAAAGACUUGCAAUAUGUAAAAAGCUUUCAAACUAUGAUUUGGUUAGAAAUGGGCUAUUAGCUCAGGUGGUUAGAGCGCACCCCUGAUAAGGGUGAGGUCCCUGGUUCGAGUCCAGGAUGGCCCACCUGAAUCAAUUAAAAAUGUAGAAUUAGAAAUUACAAGUUUUUUUAAUUUUUAAUUAUCAAUUUUUAAUUGUAUCGGGGGGUUUAGCUCAGUUGGUAGAGCGCCUGCUUUGCAAGCAGGAUGUCAGCGGUUCGAGUCCGMUAACCUCCACCUGUGGUAAUUKCCAUAGAAAAAACAAAAAAUAUUGAGAGUUCAGCAACGUGACAUUGAUUGUCAGACUGCUGAGAUUAUUCUCAGCCAGAACCUUGAAAACUGCAUAGUAACGCGAAAUUAGCAGGCAGACACAGACAUUCUUUAUGGAUGUUGUAGUGAAUGCAAAAUUGUGAAAGACCAAAUGAAUUGAGUGUCAAGCGAUACGACCG
rnacentral:tRNA from 1 species